GUCCGUGUAGCGCAGUGGAUAGCGCGUUGGACUUCUACGCAAAAGGUCGUGGUUUCGAAUACCACUACAGAUU